UUUCACCUGUUUAAUAAAAACAUGUCCUUUAGAGUAUAAUUUAAGGUCUAACCUGCCCACUGAAAGUUUAAAUGGCCGCGGUAUUUUGACCGUGCAAAGGUAGCAUAAUCAUUAGUUUUUUAAUUGAAAGCUGGUAUGAAUGGUUGGAUGAGAAAAUAACUGUCUCAAAUUUAUUUUAAUUGAAUUUUAUAUUUAAGUUAAAAAGCUUAAAUUUUAUUAAAAGACGAGAAGACCCUAUAGAAUUUUAUAUAAUUUAAGAAAUAAAUUUAUAGAUUAAAAUUAUUUAUUUUUUUAAUUAUAUUUUGUUGGGGUGACAGAAAAAUUUAUUUAACUUUUUUUUUAUUUUUACAUUGAUUAAUGAUUUAAUGAUCCAAUUAUUUUGAUUAUAAGAUUAAAUUACCUUAGGGAUAACAGCGUAAUUUUUUUUGAGAGUUCUUAUCGAAAAAGAAGAUUGCGACCUCGAUGUUGGAUUAAAGUUAAAUUUUGGUGUAGAAGCUAAAAGGUUAAGUCUGUUCGACUUUUAAAACUUUACAUGAUCUGAGUUUAAACCGGCGUGAGCCAGGUUGGUUUCUAUCUUUAAUUUAUUAUAAUAGCUUAGUACGAAAGGACCAGUUAUU
rnacentral:rRNA from 1 species